rnacentral:lncRNA from 1 species
UUCGGCUGUUUUGAUGGAAACAAAAGGAAAUUUUGUUCCUUGGUUGUGGUUCCCUGCUUUCCUACCAGACGAAGUUGAGUCUGCGUUCUCGGUAGUUGAUUCCUAGCCCCCAGUUUGACUCACUUCUCUUUCCUUAUGAUAGUACUUACCACUUCUAUCAGCCCAUUGCUUGAGAGGAAAGUCUACGGUUAUCAUAUAAUUGACAGUUCAUGUUAAUAGUUCUUCAGGCCUGAUAGAAGAAUGUUUAUCUCCUGAAGCCGUAGCCAUAUUGUGCUGGUUAAAUUUAGUGCCUGAAGGCUGACCUGGAUGAGUUCGGUAACUGUUUGCCUGAUAUUUACGGCGUUUUAUUGUGUUAAUAGUUGUACAUAUACACAUGUGUAAUAAGCAUACCUGAUCAUUUCAUAACUGUGUAAUUAGAGUAACAAUGGACAAUGUAGU